rnacentral:rRNA from 1 species
ACUUUUAACAAUGGAUCUCUUGGCUCUCAUAUCGAUGAAGAACACAGUGAAAUGUGAUAAGUAAUGUGAAUUGCAGAAUUCAGUGAAUCAUCAAAUCUUUGAACGCACCUUGCACCUUUUGGUAUUCCAAAAGGUAUACCUGUUUGAGUGUCAU